rnacentral:rRNA from 1 species
CAGCCGCCACGGGAAUACAGAGGGUGCGAGCGUUAAUCGGAUUUACUGGGCGUAAAGCGUGCGUAGGCGGCUUCUUAAGUCGGAUGUGAAAUCCCUGAGCUUAACUUAGGAAUUGCAUUCGAUACUGGGAAGCUAGAGUAUGGGAGAGGAUGGUAGAAUUCCAGGUGUAGCGGUGAAAUGCGUAGAGAUCUGGAGGAAUACCGAUGGCGAAGGCAGCCAUCUGGCCUAAUACUGACGCUGAGGUACGAAAGCAUGGGGAGCAAACAGGAUUAGAUACCCCUGUAUCCCUGUCUCUUAUACA